GAUGGAAAUAUAACUGUUGGAAAAGUUCGGAGAAGACUUUUCAGAACAUCUGGAUCUUGGAGUUCCAGUAGUUCAGAGAGAGAAGAAAAACACAUGGAGGUUAGUCUCCCACUACCAAAAGAAGCUCCAAAAAAAGAGGAGGAGACGCAAGAUCAGUUACAGAGGAACGAUGGAA